GAACAACUAAAAGGCCAGCAGGGAUCUAGAGGGCACAGACCUGAUUACCUUGCCUGAAACAGAAGCUGCUGCUAGACCAUUAAGAAACUUCAAAACCAGGAGCAGAGUCUUGAGGUCUACUCUGAAACUAAGAUGCAACCAGACUGUAACACGGCGGUAAUGUGUGCUCCUCUGGUCCUCUGUUACAGGGAGAAUUGAGACAACUGAUGUGGACGUGGUCACCACACUGAAGCAGACUGUCCCCGGGCCUGAGGUUAUCAGCACAGGGAAGAGUUUGAGCUCCUCAUUGCCUGGAUGGAACAAAUCCCACUUAUUGUGUUGUCCAGCCCAGAGCUGAGAGAGGCCAGCAUGCUGUUCGCCUGCAGAAACUGUUACUUCCUGUACUUUUCUGGCACUCUCCAUUGUGCUAUGCACUAAAGUAACAAGUAAACAUGCUGUCCCCCACCAAUGGUGUAAUGUAGCCCUACAUCACAAUAUCAAUAUAAUAUUGAUUAUUUUGUAAGCAAUCCCUACUCCAUAGCCAUAUUUGUUAUUAUGACAAAUACAUUUUUCCUAACCCACUGCAUCUAUUUUCAUUUGAAUGUUGUAACUCCUAACUUAUUCCAAUGAUUAUAAUUGCAAUGUGUUGGAUUUCUCAUAUAUAUGUUGUCAUACUAUUGAGAUACUGUAUUAUGUACUAGUGUUAGU